rnacentral:lncRNA from 1 species
AGAUGAAGCUUACUUCAAACACUGAAAAAGAAGCAUGAAAAACAAAGCAUCCAGGACUCAAAAGAAAAUAACUCAAAUGAUUUGAGAAAAAAAAGCCACCAUACAAACAAGAUUGAGAUUUUAUUGCUUAAAUCAUUACUGUAAUACGUAGUGCAAGAUACUGGAGGCAAAAAUAGGUAAAACAGGCUUUUAUUGCCUUACAAAUAUGUGCUCUUAAACAACUCGCACUGAAAAAAGAACAAACAAAACUGGAGGAAGGUACGUUGUAGAGAGAGGACAUCAUCUCAUUAACCAAAACUUCUGCUAAAGACCAAGGAAAAGCUCCAUUCUCCAUCUUCCUCGAACCAAAAUUGUUAAUCAAAAUCAGGACAGUAACACUUGUUCACGACCUGCGUCCAAAGGCAGAGCAAGAUUACUAUAGUUGCAACCACUGAAUAUUAAUAAUGCAGCCAUAUCAAUCAACAUUAUUCACAAACCAUCAAUGGUCAAUUCUAAUUCCAACCCGUUGAUGGCAUAGUAGAUUGACCUAUCUCUUUCUCUUCUUUUCUAUCCAAACCAUUUGGACUGUUAUCAUUAUAGGAAAUGUUAUGAUCAUAACAUCUAGGUCUACCAAUGGCAAAUAUUGUUACACUUCUAAAUGGAUGAAUGAAAAUGAAAACAUGUGAAAGUAAUACGCAAACAAUCAGUAGAGCGCCAGGAAAACAUGCUUGUGAAUUCAUGGUACACUACACUAUCAUUAAUUUGCUUCUGAGCUCUCCAAUCGCAACCCAGAAAAGUAUUUAUAAACUUAUAGUUUUACCUCCCAGCAGCUAUAAAGCAAAGAUGGUGAUAAAAUUACAUCUCACACCCCAAAGCAUCAAUAUAUACUUCCAACCACAUAAAUUAUAUAUUGAAAUACGGAUAAGUAAAAGGGCAACUCUUGCAACAAAACAAAAAUUGUAGACUUUACAUUGAAAACUAAACUGACAUGCAGCUGAAAGGCUAUAGUGUAUGCUCUCCACAAAGGUCACGAGCCAGCAAAAUUCUCAGCAACUGCGCAAAACCCAACUG